UCAAAAUUCGCGGCCGAAGAGAAGACCAUUGGCACCGCCGGGGCGCGAUCAUUGAAGGACUAGAUGUCUUGAAGAUGGUCAGCAGGGAAAAGGGGGAGAGAUAUUCAGAGCGAAGGCAGGAAAAUCAUGGUGUUCGCGCUGAGAAGAUUCGAAUCGAGGCUCACUGCCAUGCAUUCCGUGGCUGAACUGCCACCACUCCAUCGCCCUGCUGUUCAACCACGGUUGCCCGGUGAAGCUCCGGCCGCGGCCGGCCCUUCCCCGC
rnacentral:lncRNA from 1 species